AAUUCUGUUCCACAAGGCUUAAACUUUGGGUACACCUUACCAUGUUACAUUUGUGUGGUUUCUCUCAAAGAUGCGUAUUCUGAUAUCAAGUGAGGUGUGAGCCCUGGUUACUGGCUUUCUCACAUCCAUUACUUUUAUAUGGUUUCUCUCCAGGAUGGAGUCUCUGAUGCUGAAUAAAGCUUGAACACGUACAUAAGUUUUGUCUUAAUCAUUAUAUUUGUAAGGUUUUUCUCCUGUAUGAAUUCUCUGAUGUUCCAUAAGGCUUGAACUUUGAAUGAAAGCCUUGCCACACACAUUACAUUUGUGUGGUUUCUCUCCAGUAUGGAUUUUCUGAUGCUUAGUAAGGCUUGCAAAUUGGGUAAAAGCUUUGCCACACUCAUGACAUUUGUAAGGUUUUUCUCCAGUAUGGAUUUUCUGAUGUUGACUAAGAUUUGAACGCUCAGCAAAGGCUUUGCCACACUCAUUACAUUUGUAAGGUCUCUGUCCAGAAUGAAUUCUCUCAUGAUUCGUGAGGUUUGAGCUUUUGCUAAAAGCCUUCCCACACUCAUUACAUUUGUAAGACUUUUUCCUAGUGUGUGUUUUCCCAUAUUGUGCAGGUAACGAAGGAUAUUUAAAAACCUUCCUAUAUUUAUUACAAAUGUUUUUAACACUAGAAGGAAUUAUUUGAAGUGGUGAAACUGAGGAACCAUUGUUAAUAGACUUCCCAACUUGACUGCAUUCAUAAACUUUCUCCUCAGUUUGAAAUCUCUGCAGUUCAGCAAGGUGGGCCUGCAAACUUAAUCCAGGUCUAUUUUCCAAACACCUUAUAUACUUGUUUCCAGCAUCGCUCAUGUUAUUUUUCAGUUUUAACAAAUUCCCUAUAAAUGGCUUGUCAUGUAUGAAAUAUUCGUAUGUAUUAUUUCUUACUGAAACAUGCUGCUUUUGAGGAAAAUUAAUUGAGGAUAUAUUAUGUUGUUGAUCUAUUCUAUGAGUGAGAUUUUUUUUAUAAGUCAAAGGCACUCUUUUGUAAUUUCUCUCAUCAUAUCCCCACUCAUUCUCAUGCUCAUACAUAUUUUCCAAGACUUCCUUGAGGUCAAAAUCCUUGACGCCAUGCCUUUCAUUUCUUUCCAAUAUCACUAGAUGGUAUAAUUUUCCUUUAUCAAUGUCCUCUCUUGGUGAUAAUUUGUUUAUUGCAAAUUCAGCAGAAAUGCUUCC
rnacentral:lncRNA from 1 species